rnacentral:rRNA from 1 species
UAAACUCUUGUUGUUGAGGAAGAUAAUGACGGUACUCAACAAGGAAGUGACGGCUAACUACGUGCCAGCAGCCGCGGUAAAACGUAGGUCACAAGCGUUGUCCGGAAUUACUGGGUGUAAAGGGAGCGCAGGCGGGAAGACAAGUUGGAAGUGAAAUCCAUGGGCUCAACCCAUAAACUGCUUUCAAAACUGUUUUUCUUGAGUAGUGCAGAGGUAGGCGGAAUUCCCGGUGUAGCGGUGGAAUGCGUAGAUAUCGGGAGGAACACCAGUGGCGAAGGCGGCCUACUGGGCACCAACUGACGCUGAGGCUCGAAAGUGUGGGUAGCAAACAGGAUUAGAUACCCUGGUAGUCCACACCGUAAACGAUGAUUACUAGGUGUUGGAGGAUUGACCCCUUCAGUGCCGCAGUUAACACAAUAAGUAAUCCACCUGGGGAGUACGACCGCAAGGUUGAAACUCAAAGGAAUUGACGGGGGCCCGCACAAGCAGUGGAGUAUGUGGUUUAAUUCCACCCAACACCAAAAACCUUACCAAGUCUUGACAUCCCUUGACGAACAUAGAAAUAUGUUUUCUCUUCGGAACCAGGAGACAGGUGGUGCAUGGUUGUCGUCAGCUCGUGUCGUGAGAUGUUGGGUUAAGUCCCGCAACCAGCGCAACCCUUAUGGUCAGUUACUACCCAAGAGGACUCUGGCCGGACUGCCGUUGACAAA